rnacentral:rRNA from 1 species
GAGGGUUAGUCGGGACCUAAGCCGAGGCCGAAAGGCGUAGGCGAUGGACAAUCGGUUGAUAUUCCGAUACCACUACCAUCGUUAUUAUCGAGGGUGUGACGGAGAAGGAUAGUGUGUGCUAGCGAUUGGAAAUGCUAGUCUAAGCGUUUAGGGAGUUACAGUAGGCAAAUCCGCUGUAACAAUUCUGAGGCGUGAUGGGGAAGGUCAUUAAGACCGAAGUACAUGAUUCCAUGCUUCCAAGAAAAGCAUCUAGAGAGAGAAGUAGUGCCCGUACCGCAAACCGACACAGGUAGAUGAGGAGAGAAUCCUAAGGCCGGCGGAAGAAUUGCAGUUAAGGAACUAGGCAAAUUGACCCCGUAAGUUCGCGAGAAGGGGUGCCUGUGAGAGCAGGCCGCAGAGAAUAGGCCCAAGCAACUGUUUAGCAAAAACACAGGUCUCUGCUAAAGCGUAAGCUGAUGUAUAGGGGCUGACGCCUGCCCGGUGCUGGAAGGUUAAGGGGAACACUUAGCGCAAGCGAAGGUGUGAACUUAAGCCCCAGUAAACGGCGGCCGUAACUAUAACGGUCCUAAGGUAGCGAAAUUCCUUGUCAGGUAAGUUCUGACCCGCACGAAUGGCGUAAUGACUUGGGCACUGUCUCAACUGCAAAUCCGGCGAAGUUGUAGUGCGAGUGAAGAUGCUCGCUACCCGCGAUUGGACGGAAAGACCCCGUAGAGCUUUACUGUAGCUUAGCAUUGAAUUCCGGUAUUGUCUGUACAGGAUAGGUGGGAGACUGGGAAACUAGGGCGUCAGCCUUAGUGGAGUCAACCUUGGGAUACCACCCUGACAGUACUGGGGUUCUAACAGGACGCCAUGAAACUGGUGACUGGACAUUGUUAGGUGGGCAGUUUGACUGGGGCGGUCGCCUCCUAAAAAGUAACGGAGGCGCCCAAAGGUUCCCUCAGAACGGUCGGAAAUCGUUCGUAGAGUGCAAAGGCAGAAGGGAGCCUGACUGCGAGACCCACAAGUCGAGCAGGGACGAAAGUCGGGCUUAGUGAUCCGGUGGUACCUCGUGGGAGGGCCAUCGCUCAACGGAUAAAAGCUACCUCGGAUAACAGGCUGAUCUCCCCCAAGAGUCCACAUCGACGGGGAGGUUUGGCACCUCGAUGUCGGCUCGUCGCAUCCUGGGGCUGUAGUAGGUCCCAAGGGUUGGGCUGUUCGCCCAUUAAAGCGGCACGCGAGCUGGGUUCAGAACGUCGUGAGACAGUUCGGUCCCUAUCCGUCGCGGGCGUAGGAAAUUUGAGAGGAGCUGUCCUUAGUACGAGAGGACCGGGAUGGACUGACCUCUGGUGCACCAGUUGUUCUGCCAAGAGCAUAGCUGGGUAGCUAAGUCGGGAAGGGAUAAACGCUGAAAGCAUCUAAGCGUGAAGCCCCCCUCAAGAUGAGAUUUCCCAUAGCAUAAGCUAGUAAGACCCCUUGAAGAACACAAGGUUGAUAGGUCAGAGGUGGAAGUGCGGUAACGUAUGUAGCUGACUGAUACUAAUAGGUCGAGGGCUUGAUC